CAUUUUCAUCGAGCGGGUCCCUCUUAGAGCUGCUUGUGUUUCUAUCUUCCAAAUGUGAUCCGAAUCUCAGCAAUGGAAGCGUUAGAUCAAAGAUUGAAGAUCUAAACUGGGAUCCGUGCGGGAGUUGCCGGGAGAUUCACGGACUGAUGCGAUUCCCCGGUAGGUGAAUCUUGCCUUCUGCUAAACUGGUGAACCCUGAACUUGUGGCGCGGUCAGAACCAGUUGCUGAGUUGCUUGAUUUGGAUCUGAAAGAGGGUUGUCGGCUGGAUUGCUUAGGCAAGCUACAUACACAAUAGCACGACUUGGGUCAUUUAGUGUAGUGGUCAACUUAUUUCAAAUAUUAAUGAUGCAUUUUGACAACGUAAUGGAUUCUGUGGUGCAUUAAAUGCUUCCAUA